rnacentral:rRNA from 1 species
GAUGAACGCUGGCGGCGUGCCUAAUACAUGCAAGUCGAGCGAACAGAUAAGGAGCUUGCUCCUUUGACGUUAGCGGCGGACGGGUGAGUAACACGUGGAUAACCUACCUAUAAGACUGGGAUAACUUCGGGAAACCGGAGCUAAUACCGGAUAACAUAUUGAACCGCAUGGUUCAAUAGUGAAAGGCGGCUUUGCUGUCACUUAUAGAUGGAUCCGCGCCGUAUUAGCUAGUUGGUAAGGUAACGGCUUACCAAGGCAACGAUACGUAGCCGACCUGAGAGGGUGAUCGGCCACACGGGAGCUGAGACACGGUCCAGACUCCUACGGGAGGCAGCAGUAGGGAAUCUGCCGCAAUGGGCGAAAGCCUGACGGAGCAACGCCGCGUGAGUGAUGAAGGUCUUCGGAGCGUAAAACUCUGUUAUCAGGGAAGAACAAAUGUGUAAGUAACUGUGCACAGCUUGACGGUACCUGAUCAGAAAGCCACGGCUAACUACGUG